GACGAACGCUGGCGGCGUGCCUAACACAUGCAAGUCGAACGGAACUGUUUUGAAAGAUUUCUUCGGAAUGAAUUUGAUUUAGUUUAGUGGCGGACGGGUGAGUAACGCGUGAGUAACCUGCCUUCAAGAGGGGGAUAACAUUCUGAAAAGAAUGCUAAUACCGCAUGACAUAUCGGAAUCACAUGAUUUUGAUAUCAAAGAUUUUAUCGCUUGAAGAUGGACUCGCGUCCGAUUAGUUAGUUGGUGAGGUAACGGCUCACCAAGACCGCGAUCGGUAGCCGGACUGAGAGGUUGAACGGCCACAUUGGGACUGAGACACGGCCCAGACUCCUACGGGAGGCAGCAGUGGGGGAUAUUGCGCAAUGGGGGCAACCCUGACGCAGCAACGCCGCGUGAAGGAUGAAGGUUUUCGGAUUGUAAACUUCUUUUAUUAAGGACGAAAAUUG
rnacentral:rRNA from 1 species